rnacentral:rRNA from 1 species
GGUUUGUCGCGUCUGCCGUGAAAGUCCGGGGCUCAACUCCGGAUCUGCGGUGGGUACGGGCAGACUAGAGUGAUGUAGGGGAGACUGGAAUUCCUGGUGUAGCGGUGAAAUGCGCAGAUAUCAGGAGGAACACCGAUGGCGAAGGCAGGUCUCUGGGCAUUAACUGACGCUGAGGAGCGAAAGCAUGGGGAGCGAACAGGAUUAGAUACCCUGGUAGUCCAUGCCGUAAACGUUGGGCACUAGGUGUGGGGGACAUUCCACGUUUUCCGCGCCGUAGCUAACGCAUUAAGUGCCCCGCCUGGGGAGUACGGCCGCAAGGCUAAAACUCAAAGGAAUUGACGGGGGCCCGCACAAGCGGCGGAGCAUGCGGAUUAAUUCGAUGCAACGCGAAGAACCUUACCAAGGCUUGACAUGGGCCGGACCGGGCUGGAAACAGUCCUUCCCCUUUGGGGCCGGUUCACAGGUGGUGCAUGGUUGUCGUCAGCUCGUGUCGUGAGAUGUUGGGUUAAGUCCCGCAACGAGCGCAACCCUCGUUCCAUGUUGCCAGCGCGUAAUGGCGGGGACUCAUGGGAGACUGCCGGGGUCAACUCGGAGGAAGGUGGGGACGACGUCAAAUCAUCAUGCCCCUUAUGUCUUGGGCUUCACGCAUGCUACAAUGGCCGGUACAAAGGGUUGCGAUACUGUGAGGUGGAGCUAAUCCCAAAAAGCCGGUCUCAGUUCGGAUUGGGGUCUGCAACUCGACCCCAUGAAGUCGGAGUCGCUAGUAAUCGCAGAUCAGCAACGCUGCGGUGAAUACGUUCCCGGGCCUUGUACACACCGCCCGUCAAGUCACGAAAGUUGGUAACACCCGAAGCCGGUGGCCUAACCCCUUGUGGGAGGGAGCUGUCGAAGGUGGGACUGGCGAUUGGGACUAAGUCGUAACAAGGUAGCC